rnacentral:rRNA from 1 species
CAGCAGCCGCGGUAAUACGAAGGGUGCAAGCGUUACUCGGAAUUACUGGGCGUAAAGCGUGCGUAGGUGGUGGGUUAAGUCCGUUGUGAAAGCCCUGGGCUCAACCUGGGAAUUGCAGUGGAUACUGGAUCACUAGAGUGUGGUAGAGGAUAGUGGAAUUUCCGGUGUAGCAGUGAAAUGCGUAGAGAUCGGGAGGAACAUCAGUGGCGAAGGCGGCCAUCUGGGACAACACUGACGCUGAGGCACGAAAGCGUGGGGAGCAAACAGGAUUAGAUACCCCUGUAGUCCCUGUCUCUUAUAC